UAUAAAGAUGGAUAAAGGAAUUUAUUAAUAUACACAGUAACUUUUGUUCUUUUAAAGCAAUGAUUCGGGCCUCCUGGGCCCAGCUCAGGUCCUGGCCCAAAAAGUCCCUGGAACAGAGCCCUUGCUUUUGUCCCUGCCUCCCGGGUGAUUGAGGAGUAGAAAAGGAACCUACAUUCCUCAUCCUUGGUGUGAAUUUCCACGCUCCCCACCGGCCAACUGUGGCAAUUCACAUUGUAGUUCUGACAAUAAAUGGCCCGUUCUGACUGGGCUGGUGGGGGUCCUGGUCCAGCCACCUCCAGCCAGGGGUCCCUGGGUCGUGAAGGCGCCACGACCUGCUCCACUCAAGAUGUGCAGCUCCACCCACUCACGCUAGAGAGGAAGAAGAACUUCUGCCAUAAACUUUUGUUGUUAUUGUUUUGUUUGGUUUGGUUUGAGACGGGGUCUCGUUCUGUUGCUCCGCCUGGAGUGCAGUGGCCCCAUCACGGCUCACUGCAGCCUCGACCUCCUGGGCUCGAGUGAUUCUCAUGCUUCAGCCUCUGGAGGAGCUGGGGCCACAGGCACCCACCACCACACCUGGCUAAGUUUUUGUAUUUUUGUAGAAACAAGGUCUCGCUCUGUUGCCCAGGCUCGUCUCAAACUCCGCCCACCUCAGCCUCCCAAAGUGCUGGGAUUCCAGGUGCGAGCCACCGCACCCAGCCUCCUAAACUGUUUUUAAUUUGUGCAGAAUGAACCGGGUCAUCAACCACUGUAAGUGGUCUGACUACCCUGACCAUAAAAUGUCGGAAACACUCAACUUGCAACUGGUGGAAGCAGCCUAGCCCCACUGCACGUAAAACACUCGCGUUGUGGCAAACGCGGAGACCAAGGCUGCACUGGCCGGAAGUGGGGACAGAUCCCGAUACGCCCUGGGGACAGAGCAGGGAUGCUGAGGCCUGGUCCACACUGGCUCUGCCCUCUUUCUGGCCCACUACCCCAUCCUGAGACCGCAGGUUCCGGCGGACCCGGAUGCAGGUUUUCCGGAUGAAAGGCCCCUUUCCUGGAGUGGACUUUGAUAUUUUCUGUUCACAACUCCGUGUCACCAUCCUCCACACCUAGGAUCUGGCGUCUGGUGUCACUGCCGACGUCACAAUCCCCGCACCUACGUGUCUCAGCCGCAGUAGCCCUACGUCGCUGUCAGACACUGGGAGCCAAACUCCCUUCAUUCCAACUUCCACCAAAACCACUUCUCUGGAUCCAUCCCUGGAGUUGACACAACAGGGAUCUUCAGCCCCAGAAAGCCCUUGAGACGUUCUCCUUGAAGCUCCCCUAGGUGGGAGUAGAAGUUCAUCUCCUGACACUCCACGUUUUAUUCAUGAGUCCUGAGUUAUGACACAGAGGACACAGUUGUGCUCCCCUUACUAUGGACUAGCAGAUAAAGCACCUUAACCACUCAGCCACCAUGCAAACCCUUCUUAUAUUUGAUUCAAUAUACUUUUCCGCAAGCAAAAUAAAAGUUCUGACCAAGGAGGCGUCGUCUGAUUUGACUCUAGAACUUGGAAAUGCAUUGGCUUUUAGCAAAUCUCAGUACUGAAUGUAAACUUCAAGGAGAAAUGGUUCCAGGAAAUAAAUUGGGAUGACAUUGAACUUUUAGCAAACUGCAAAAUCCUGAAACCAUGGACUUACUGAGGCCAAUUAAAUGGGCUAAUUCAUGGGUGGAAGUGGUACAUCCUAAAAAUUCUCCACAAGUGAUUCUACACUGAAGCCAGGGUUUUUGUCAAGUACUGUGUGAGGAUGAGGAUGG
rnacentral:lncRNA from 1 species